rnacentral:rRNA from 1 species
CCUACGGGAGGCAGCAGUGGGGAAUAUUGGGCAAUGGGCGCAAGCCUGACCCAGCAACGCCGCGUGAAGGAAGAAGGCUCUCGGGUUGUAAACUUCUUUUCUGAGGGACGAAGAAAGUGACGGUACCUCAGGAAUAAGCCACGGCUAACUACGUGCCAGCAGCCGCGGUAAUACGGAGGUGGCAAGCGUUAUCCGGAUUUAUUGGGUGUAAAGGGCGUGUAGGCGGGAAAGCAAGUCAGAUGUGAAAAUUCAGGGCUCAACCCUGAACCUGCAUUUGAAACUGUCUUUCUUGAGUGCUGGAGAGGUAAGCGGAAUUCCUGGUGUAGCGGUGAAAUGCGUAGAUAUACGGAGGAACACCAGUGGCGAAGGCGGAUUGCUAAACAGUAACUGACACUGAGGCGCGAAAGCGUGGGGAGCAAACAGGAUUAGAUACCCGGGUAGUC